rnacentral:misc_RNA from 1 species
GGUUGAUCUUUUGGGAGAUGAGGUUGAUACACUUCUGCGCCUACUUGAAAAAAUAUACAUUGCACUUGAUCACUACUUGCCAGUUUUGCAGCAUUAUCCUGGAAUUAUUGAAAUUCUUAAGCUGAUCAGAAAGGAAUUGUGGGGAGAUUCUGCUAAACCAGUGAAGUAAUCUUCUACAUAAGGUGCUGGUGAGUUCUAUGCUAUGUUUGGUGAAAGGAGGAUAUGAGGAGGGGGGAAAAAAGAGGGAAGAUUAAAGCUCAAUUGCUCCAGGUAAGUUCAAAAGUGGGCAUUUUUGUUUUUCUUGGUACUGAUAGAUGAAUUUUGGCCACUAUUUGAAGUCCACUGUAAAGCCAGAAGAUCCUGUUGGUAACAAAGACAAGUGUUACUUCUAUAGGAAUUUGAAUAGGGGAGAGCAUUUUUACUUUGCUUGUAUAUUGCUCCAUUUUUUUUCGCUGUGCAAAUUAGGUGAGAAGACCAAACACCAAAUAGCUGCUGCUGUGCAUUUUAGAUACUUGACAUGUACACGUGCAAGCCAUGCUAAGUUGUAACAUUC